AUGCUCCGUUUCCCAUCUAACAAGAGCUCGUCUAACUUCUCUUGGCCCCUGGCUGACGCUUUUAAUGCAUUCAUUAGGGACACGGCUAUUCGUGAGAUUCCUAGGGUUGGCGCCCGUUUCACUUGGUCCAACCACCAAACUCCCCCAAUUCGUUCGAUUCUUGAUAGGGUUUUUGUUUGCUCUAGGUGGGAUUCCUUAUUCCCCCGUGCCAGUCUUAGAGCCCUGGCUUGUGUUGGUUCUGAUCACACCCCCUUGAUUCUUGAUGAUGGUUUGCGCCUAGCGGGCUUUCCGACAUUCCAGUUUGAUGCUUCAUGGCUCCAAGUGGAGGGGUUUAAUGAGUUGGUGGCACAAAAGAUUCUGUCUUUCCUCUCCUCUACUCGACGUUCUUUUAGCCCUAUGGAUGACUGGCAUCAAUGCUCCUAUUUUUUGCGUAGAUUUCUUAGAGGCUGGUCUAAAAACCACUACGCUGAGUCUAGGCGGGACAAAGCUAGGCUGCUGGCUCAAAUUGGCGUUUUAGAUGAUCGCGCCGAUAGUACUGGGCUGUCCUCGUCUGAAUGGCAAACCCGAUAUGGUUUAGAACAGGCGCUACUGGGCAUCCAUAGGCAAGAGGAAGUAUACUGGAAACAACGAGGUACUAUCAACUGGACCUUAAAGGGUGACUCUCCUACGUCUUAUUUUUUUGCGAUUGCUAACGGCAGGCGCCGGAGAUGCAUUAUUGAUAGCCUUUUGAUAGACGGCGUCAGGGUCUCUGACCCAUCGGUGAUCAUGCGGCAUGUGGUUGAUUUCUUCUCUAACCUCCUAGCUGAUAAGCCCGUGCUAGGCUUUAAGUUGGCCUCGACCUUUUGGUCUCCUCUGGACCAGCUGUCGGGUGCUGAUAAUGAGAGUUUACUGAUCCCUUCCACGGAAGAGGAAAUAUUCGAGAUGAUCCAGACUGGCAACCCGAAUGCGACUUCUGGGCCUGAUGGCUUUUCCAUCCCUUUUUUUCGGCAAUUCUGGCCUCAGCUAAAGGGAUUAAUUAUGGCUAUUUCUCAAGGCUUUUGGUUGGGGACUGUUGACAUCUCCAGACUUAACUACGCUGUUCUCACCCUCAUUCCUAAAGUCAAAGGCGCUGACUUGAUAUCCCAAUUUAGACCCAUUGCUUUGAUUAACAAUUUUGCUAAGUUUCCUGCCAAGGGUAUGGCUACUAGGAUUUCUCCGAUCGCCCAUCGGGUUAUUAGCCCCUUCCAAUCCGCGUUCAUUAAGGGGAGAUUCAUUCUGGACGGGGUGCUUUGCCUUCACGAGAUAAUUCAUGACCUUCACUCAAAGCACUCUAAGGUUGUAGUUCUUAAACUUGAUUUUGAAAAAGUGUAUGACUCAGUCAGCUGGAGUUUUCUUCGCCAAGUUCUGUUGGCCAGGGGCUUCGAUGGUGCGGUGGUACACCGCCUGAUGCAACUUAUCUCUGGUGGGCACACGGCGGUGGCUGUCAAUGGCCAGACCAAUAACUUCUUUGCCAACGGUAGGGGCCUAAGGCAAGGAGAUCCAGCGUCUCCCCUGCUUUUCAAUUUUGUGGCUAAUGCCUUAUCUCAUAUUCUGUCUAGGGCUGCGGCUGCUGGUAACAUCUCGCCGGUUAGCUCCCAUCUUAUUCCUAAUGGCAUCUCCCACCUCCAGUACGUGGACGACACCAUCACGAAUAUGAAAUUUCUUCUUCUUUGCUUUAAAGCCUUGUCGGGCCUUAAAAUCAACUUUUCUAACAGUGAGGUCAUUGUGACUGGGGUAUCUGUCUCGGAAGCGCAGAGGGUCGCACAUCUCUUGAACUGCUCGCUAGGGUCCUUUCCUCUCAAAUACUUGGGCCUACCCAUCUCCCGGCUUAAGAUUUUGGCCAAAGAGUUUGCACCGGCUGUUACUAAAGUUGGCAAUAGAGUUUUUCCGUGGCGAGGGCGCUAUAAUUCUCAGGCGGGCAAGGUCGCCCUUACCAACUCCUGCCUUUCCUCUCUCCCGAUGUUUCUAAUGGGCUUCUAUCUUCUAUCAGAUGGGACUCCCACUGGUUUCGAUAAGCACAGGGGUGCCUUUUACUGGAAUUCCUCCGAUAACAAACGCAAAUAUAGGAUGGUUAAAUGGGACCUCAUUUGUAGACCUAAGAACAUGGGGGGCCUUGGCAUCAUUAACACCAGAAUCAUGAAUAAGUGUCUCCUGUUAAAGUGGUGGUGGAAGAUUAUGUCCCUUGAUGAUCGUCCUGCUUGGCUAAACCUUCUCAAAGAUAAAUAUUUUCCCUUCUCGAGUCCUAUGUUCGCUUUCUCUUCUGGUGGCUCUCAAUUUUGGCGCCAGCUUGUUAGUAUUAGACCGAUAUUUCAGUCCCUGGUGAAAUUCGUAGUCCGUAACGGCAAUUCUACGCGUUUUUGGUUAGACUGGUGGGUUGGAGACACCACCCUUGCGGUGGCUUAUCCGACUCUGUUUUCGUUUUGUGAUAACCCUGAGAUCUCUAUCUCUGAGCUCUCGGCCCAGGGGUGGGUUUUAGAUUUCCAGCGCUCUCUUUCCCCUGUGGAGUUGGAAGAAUGGCAACGCCUUACUGCCUGCUUCCCCCUGCUCUCGGAGGAAGAGGACUCCGUUUUUUGGCCUCACACCCCUUCGGGGCGUUUUUCUGUUAAGUCGGCCUAUUCGCGUCUAAUCGCUGGUGUUCGCUCUGACAAGUUUAAACCAGUUUGGUCUGCCCGCAUACCUCCUAAGAUCAAAAUCUUCCUUUGGCAAGCUCUUCAUCGCAAACUCCCUGCGGGUGACCAGAUUAAAAAGAGGAAUGGGCCGGGUUCUGACAGUUGUCAACUGUGUGGCGCCCUAGAGAAUACAAAGCAUAUAUUUUUCCAGUGCUCAUUAGCUAAAUUCAUCUGGAGUUGCAUUAGACUUUGGCUCCAUGUUCCCUGGAACCCUGCCUCUUUUAAGGAUCUUCGGCGAUGUAUCAAUACUCUAGCAGGCCGGUCUAAACGGGUUUUCAUGGUGGGCUGGGCAGCGGUCUAUUGGGCGCUUUGGACUACUAGAAACAAGUUCACUAUUGAACACAUUUUCCCGGCUAACCCUUCAACCCAAACAGCCACACGACCCACAAUCCAAUCCCACCUCUUGCGCGCCGCGCACUCCUGCCCCGCCCCGCCGCCGGUUCCCGCCUCGCCGCCGGUAUCUGCCCCGCUGCCGCGCGCCGCCAACCCCGCCCCUACCCCUACCCCUACCCCAAGUCCCCCCACCCUCACAGCCUUCCACCGCCAGCGACACUCGACGCUGCGGCCAUUGCCGGCUCCCCCAACCCCUGCUACCACGGCGCCGUUGGGAAUCCUCCCCGCCACCUGUUGGAACCGCCCGCCUGGCUCCCGCUGCGAACAUCACCGCCACCUCUCUGUCGAUUCCCACCCCAGCGGAUGGUCCCCUCACCUGCGCUCGCAUCCUCAGACUUUGACCAAAAACAAGCCGGGAUCCGAUAGUGCCCCACAGUUCGCCGGAGUUUCAUCGGCCGGUUCUACGCUUCAGGUAUGUGGACAAGGAGGCUUGAAAUCAUGGUCUUUGUUCUCUGGCAACCUGCAGUUCGUUGGUGACAAAUUGAUUUUUGUUGCAAUGGUUGCUAAAUCCUACGAGGGCCUACAGGUGUUUGAGGCAGGAAGGGUGAUUAGAAUCGAUGAGGAGCAGCAAGAAGCAGCAACCAUUGCCGGCCUAGCUGCUUAUAGGGACAACCAGACGGUGUAUUAG
rnacentral:rRNA from 1 species